rnacentral:rRNA from 1 species
UACGUAGGGUGCGAGCGUUGUCCGGAAUUAUUGGGCGUAAAGAGCUUGUAGGUGGCUCGUUGCGUCGGGAGUGAAAACCUGCGGCUUAACCGCAGGCCUGCUUCCGAUACGGGCGAGCUAGAGUUCGGCAGGGGAGACUGGAAUUCCUGGUGUAGCGGUGGAAUGCGCAGAUAUCAGGAGGAACACCGGUGGCGAAGGCGGGUCUCUGGGCCGAUACUGACACUGAGACGCGAAAGCGUGGGUAGCAAACAGG